UUGGAAAGUCAGGUGUGAAAGCCUACAGCUUAACUGUAGAACUGCACUUGAAACUCCCAACCUAGAGUAUGGAAGGGGCAGAUGGAAUUAGUGGUGUAGGGGUAAAAUCCGUAGAUAUCACUAGGAAUACCGAAAGCGAAGGCGAUCUGCUGGGACAUUACUGACGCUAAGGCGUGAAAGCGUGGGGAGCAAACAGGAUUAGAUACCCUGGUAGUCCACGCCCUAAACGAUGAACACUAGUCGUCGCUCUGCUAGUCAGGGCGGUGAUGCACUUAACAGAUUAAGUGUUCCGCCUGGGGAGUACGGUCGCAAGAUUAAAACUCAAAGGAAUAGACGGGGACCCGCACAAGUGGUGGAGCAUGUGGUUUAAUUCGAAGAUACGCGAAGAACCUUACCUGGCCUUGACAUUGAUUGAACACUCUAGAGAUAGAGUGGUGCCCUUCGGGGAACAUGAAAACAGGUGCUGCACGGCUGUCGUCAGCUCGUGUCGUGAGAUGUUGGGUUAAGUCCCGCAACGAGCGCAACCCUCGUCCUUAGUUGCUAGCAGUUCGGCUGAGCACUCUAAGGAGACUGCCUUCGCAAGGAGGAGGAAGGUGAGGACGACGUCAAGUCAUCAUGGCCCUUAUGGCCAGGGCUACACACGUGCUACAAUGGGGCGUACAGAGUGUUGCGAU
rnacentral:rRNA from 1 species